UAUUCUUUGCUAAUUCCGCAGUUCAUUUACAAAACUGCGAAAUUAAAAUUCAUAAAUAAUAACACUAAAUUGUUGAAUACAGGCGGAAUUAAAAAUGCCCUUCAAAAAAGGAAAAAAUGUUAAACAAACAAAAAUUACUGAUACAAUGGGAAUUGAGACCAAAGAAGCACAGGCUAGUCCUAAACUAAAGCAGGAUAUAAAUUUGCAAGAAAAAUUCAGACCCCGUGAAGAAUCAAAAAUACGAUCAGUCUUUCCAG